CUUUUCGAUGCAGGUUCUCUAGGCAACUACCUGCCUGUUGAGUUUAGCUCCAUUGAGUUAACCAAACCAGGAAGUAACAGGACCUGUUAUCUGCCUGACAGCAGGGAGGGGGUGAAACCAGGUUAAUUAAUAAAACCGUCAAUUUCUAUUGAAAUCUGUACUUUUUCUAAAACGAAAAAAGAGGGUACACAUUUUUCACACACAAAGCACUUUCAGCAAGCUAAAGUACUUUAU